rnacentral:rRNA from 1 species
AAUGAACGCUGGCGGCGCGCCUAAUACAUGCAAGUCGAGCGAGAAGACGUAGCAAUACGUUUGUAAGGCGGCGAACGGGUGAGGAAUACAUGGGUAACCUACCCUAGAGUGGGGAAUAACUAGCCGAAAGGUUAGCUAAUACCGCGUACGCUCCUUGGACUUCGGUUCAGGGAGGAAAGCGAUGCCGAGGGUAUCGCGCUCUUGGAUGGGCUCAUGUCCUAUCAGCUGUUGGUGAGGUAACGGCUCACCAAGGCUUCGACGGGUAGCUGGUCUGAGAGGACGAUCAGCCACACUGGCACUGCGACAC